rnacentral:rRNA from 1 species
UACGUAGGUGGCAAGCGUUGUCCGGAUUUAUUGGGUUUAAAGGGUGCGUAGGCGGCUUAUUAAGUCAGUGGUGAAAUACUCUAGCUCAACUAGAGGGGUGCCAUUGAUACUGAUGAGCUUGAGUACAGAUGAGGUAGGCGGAAUUGACGGUGUAGCGGUGAAAUGCCUAGAUAUCGUCAAGAACACCUAUAGCGAAGGCAGCUUACUAGGCUGUAACUGACGCUGAGGCACGAAAGUGUGGGGAUCAAACAGG